rnacentral:rRNA from 1 species
CAGUCGCCACGGUAACACGUAGGGAGCAAGCGUUGUUCGGAUUUACUGGGCGUAAAGGGCGCGUAGGCGGCGCGGUAAGUCACUUGUGAAAUCUCCGAGCUUAACUCAGAACGGCCAGGUGAUACUGCUGUGCUAGAGUGCGGAAGAGGCAACCGGAAUUCUUGGUGUAGCGGUGAAAUGCGUAGAUAUCAAGAGGAACACUUGAGGCGAAGGCGGGUUACUGGGCCGACACUGACGCUGAUGCGCGAAAGCCAGGGGAGCAAACGGGAUUAGAUACCCCUGUAGUCCCUGUCUCUUAUAC